GAUGAACGCUGGCGGCGUGCCUAAUACAUGCAAGUCGAGCGGCAGCACGGUCUUCGGACUGGUGGCGAGCGGCGGACGGCUGAGUAACGCGUAGGAACGUACCCCAAAGUGAGGGAUAACUGCUCGAAAGAGUAGCUAAUACCGCAUGUGAUCUAAGGAUUAAAGUUUCGGCGCUUUGGGAAAGGGCUGCGUCCGAUUAGCGAGUUGGUGAGGUAAAAGCUCACCAAGGCGACGAUCGGUAGGUGGUCUGAGAGGAUGAUCAGCCAGACUGGGACUGAGACACGGCCCAGACUCCUACGGGAGGCAGCAGUAGGGAAUUUUCCACAAUGGGCGAAAGCCUGAUCCAGCAAUGCCGCGUGCAGGAUGAAGGCCUUCGGGUUGUAAACUGCUUUUGUACGGAACGAAAAGCCCUGGGUUAAUACCCUGGGGUCAUGACGGUACCGUAAGAAUAAGCACCGGC
rnacentral:rRNA from 1 species